CCUACGGGUGGCAGCAGUGGGGAAUAUUGCACAAUGGGGGAAACCCUGAUGCAGCGAAGCCGCGUGAGUGAAGAAGUAUUUCGGUAUGUAAAGCUCUAUCAGCAGGGAAGAAAAUGACGGUACCUGAUUAAGAAGCCCCGGCUAACUACGUGCCAGCAGCCGCGGUAAUACGUAGGGGGCAAGCGUUAUCCGGAUUUACUGGGUGUAAAGGGAGCGUAGACGGCAGCACAAGUCUGGAGUGAAAUGCCGGGGCUUAACCCCGGAACUGCUUUGUAAACUGUGAAGCUAGAGGGCAGGAGAGGUAAGCGGAAUUCGUGGUGUAGCGGUGAAAUGCGUAGAUAUUAGGAAGAACACCAAUUGCGAAGGCAGCUUACUGGACUGUAACUGACGUUGAGGCUCGAAAGUGUGGGUAGCAAACAGGAUUAGAUACCCUUGUAGUC
rnacentral:rRNA from 1 species